rnacentral:rRNA from 1 species
UGCCAGACUCCUACGGGAGGCAGCAGUGGAGAAUAUUGGGCAAUGGGCGCAAGCCUGACCCAGCAACGCCGCGUGAAGGAAGAAGGCUUUCGGGUUGUAAACUUCUUUUAUCAAGGACGAAACAAAUGACGGUACUUGAUGAAUAAGCCACGGCUAACUACGUGCCAGCAGCCGCGGUAAUACGUAGGUGGCAAGCGUUAUCCGGAUUUACUGGGUGUAAAGGGCGUGUAGGCGGGACUGCAAGUCAGAUGUGAAAACCAUGGGCUCAACCCACGGCCUGCAUUUGAAACUGUAGUUCUUGAGUGUUGGAGAGGCAGGCGGAAUUCCGUGCGUAGCGGUGAAAUGCGUAGAUAUACGGAGGAACACCAGUGGCGAAGGCGGCCUGCUGGACAAUAACUGACGCUGAGGCGCGAAAGCGUGGGGAGCAAACAGGAUUAGAUACCCGAGUA